AGAGUUUGAUCAUGGCUCAGGAUGAACGCUAGCGGCAGGCUUAACACAUGCAAGUCGAGGGGCAGCGGGGAGGAAGCUUGCUUUCUCCGCCGGCGACCGGCGCACGGGUGAGUAACACGUAUGCAACCUGCCCCUGUCAGGGGGACAACCCGCCGAAAGGCGGGCUAAACCCGCGUACAUGCCACCGGGGCAUCCCGGAGGCAGGAAAGGCUUCGGCCGGACAGGGAUGGGCAUGCGGCGCAUUAGGCAGUAGGCGGGGUAACGGCCCACCUAACCGACGAUGCGUAGGGGUUCUGAGAGGAAGGUCCCCCACACUGGUACUGAGACACGGACCAGACUCCUACGGGAGGCAGCAGUGAGGAAUAUUGGUCAAUGGUCGGGAGACUGAACCAGCCAAGCCGCGUGAGGGAGGAAGGUACAGAGUAUCGUAAACCUCUUUUGUCAGGGAACAAAGGCGGGGACGUGUCCCCGGAUGAGUGUACCUGAAGAAAAAGCAUCGGCUAACUCCGUGCCAGCAGCCGCGGUAAUACGGAGGAUGCGAGCGUUAUCCGGAUUUAUUGGGUUUAAAGGGUGCGCAGGCGGUCUGUUAAGUCAGCGGUCAAAGCCCGGGGCUCAACCCCGGCCCGCCGUUGAAACUGGCAGUCUCGAGUUGGAGAGAAGUAUGCGGAAUGCGCGGUGUAGCGGUGAAAUGCAUAGAUAUCGCGCAGAACUCCGAUUGCGAAGGCAGCAUGCCGGCUCCACACUGACGCUGAGGCACGAAAGCGUGGGUAUCGAACAGGAUUAGAUACCCUGGUAGUCCACGCAGUAAACGAUGAAUGCUGGCUGUCCGGGGGGAUUGACCCCUGGGUGGCGAAGCGAAAGCGAUAAGCAUUCCACCUGGGGAGUACGCCGGCAACGGUGAAACUCAAAGGAAUUGACGGGGGCCCGCACAAGCGGAGGAACAUGUGGUUUAAUUCGAUGAUACGCGAGGAACCUUACCCGGGCUCAAACGGGGAGUGACUCAGGCAGAGACGCCUGUUUCCCACGGGACACUCCCCGAGGUGCUGCAUGGUUGUCGUCAGCUCGUGCCGUGAGGUGUCGGCUUAAGUGCCAUAACGAGCGCAACCCCCGCGUGCAGUUGCUAACAGAUAACGCUGAGGACUCUGCACGGACUGCCGGCGCAAGCCGCGAGGAAGGCGGGGAUGACGUCAAAUCAGCACGGCCCUUACGUCCGGGGCGACACACGUGUUACAAUGGGUGGUACAGCGGGAAGCCAGGCGGCGACGCCGAGCGGAACCCGAAAUCCACUCUCAGUUCGGAUCGGAGUCUGCAACCCGACUCCGUGAAGCUGGAUUCGCUAGUAAUCGCGCAUCAGCCAUGGCGCGGUGAAUACGUUCCCGGGCCUUGUACACACCGCCCGUC
rnacentral:rRNA from 1 species